UACGUAGGGAGCGAGCGUUAUCCGGAUUUAUUGGGUGUAAAGGGUGCGUAGGCGGUUUGAUAAGUCUGUGGUUUAAUCCCGAAGCUUAACUUCGGUUCGCCACAGAAACUGUCUUGCUUGAGUAUGGUAGAGGCAAGUGGAAUUUCUAGUGUAGCGGUAAAAUGCGUAGAUAUUAGAAGGAACACCAGUGGCGAAGGCGACUUGCUAGGCCAUUACUGACGCUGAGGCACGAAAGCGUGGGGAGCAAAUA
rnacentral:rRNA from 1 species